rnacentral:misc_RNA from 1 species
CGUUUUCAUUCACAGUGCGAUGCGGAGUGCGUGAGGUGUGCGUCGGCUUACGCGAGAUCGGAGCCCGCGGCUUGCCGGCAACGUGUCGUACCGGCGAUGCGCGUCCCCGCGGAUGGACCAAUCUCUCGACGACCGCUAAAUCCUCCGGUGGAACCGUGACAACGUUCCCCAAAUGGUGCCGGUGUGUACGUAGACUUGAUCGAGACGACCAAACGACUCGCGAAGAGGAAUGCAGGAUUUCCCGACUCGCUUCGAUUAAGAUGGAGAACCAGGGAUACGAGGAGGACUCGGCUUCGCCUUCCCUCGGGUUCCCGGCGUCGCGCUCGCCCGGCGGCUCGGCGACGUCGAGCGUAGACGCUCACGUCUACGAAGACAUCGGCUCGGGCUCGGACGGGGAGGCUGGCUGCGCGCCUCGUCCGCUCCCAGAGCGCGUCUCGCCGCGCGAGCCGGUGGAUCGCGCGAGUGGAGCAAAAACCGAGGAGCGCCGCGGCUCGGAGGAAAACCCGGCGCUGGCGCGUCAGUCGAGUGCGCGCGCACCGCCGCCGGGCCCGUUCCACCGUACGUUGACGCUACCCCUGCAGAGGUCACGUGACGUCGGCUUGGCGGACCAAUCAGCGCGCGCCUCUAUGCGGGUGACCAAUCAGGAGCGGCUGGGGCGCUCGGCGGCAUGCGGGCCCGCGGUUCCGGUACCUGCGGGCGCUUCUGACGCGCCACUCGCGGCCGACCGGUCGCGGAGCGCGGAGCUCCAAGAUGGCGACCCGAGCGCCGCGCUGCGGCAGAGCAGGCGACGCAAGAAGAAGGACUGCAAGCAUUGCAAAAACAAGAUGAACGCCAAUUACGUCGAGGACGCGAGGCGCGCUCGGUUCACCUCAGUGCAAGAGGGCUGCGACUCCCGCCUCGGGGACGACGUUCCCUUGCGAAACGAUGCCAAGGGGCCCUCGCAAGCGCACCCGGUGCAGUCUAUGCAGCCACUGUUCGUCCUGCCGAACGGCAGGCUGCCCGACUUCGCCGCCGCGGCCGUUCGGACCCCCAUGCCAAAGUGCUCCGUCGCCAAUAACGCCAACUCCGUAUUCUCCGUUUCCAACAAUGUAAAUAGUACCCAUCGGGCCUCCGCGAAGGCCCUCAAUUAUAAUAAGAACGAUAUAGAGGCCAGGCUCGCCAAUGUCGAGGUCUGCGAGGACAAGGCCCUCAUCACGCCCGAGAAGAACCGAGGCGGCAUGAAGGUCAACUCCAUCUACUCGCAGGAGCACUGGAGUCUCAAGGAGGCGCCUAUAUUUAUUACGGAUCUUAAGGAACAAGGCCCUUUUCAAAGGGCCUAUUCCCUUCCCGCGAGGACGCACACCCCGUCCUCGGAAAAUCGUCUGAACCUUCGACGCAGCGUCAGAGGGGAACCUCCACCUCACCCUGCGAGGCUUCGGAAACAUCGUCACGGAUGGACCCUCCACUUCGCAAGGCCACUUCACGAGCCUGGAUGCACCAGGUCGAUCGUGAUGCUCCUGCUCGUGGUCCUAGCCCUGCUCACAAUCGGUGGGAUCGCACUUUACAUAGUUUUCGAGCCGGACAAGCUGCAGAUCAUUCAACAGUACCUGAGGUCUUCAGCUGGGAACGCGACGGCCUCGGUGAGGAAUUCCUCGGAGGUCGAGCUCGUUUCGGAACCGCUGAACGACACCUCGUCCUUCCCCGGCGCCUCGUUGAACGCCAGCCAAGCGUUUCCGGAAACCACGUUGCCGCCGGAAACGGAUGCGGAGGGCACGCGGACCGAAAUAAAACCGGAGCCGAACGCGACGAGGUACUGCGACGAUUGCGUCGCCGGCGAGGUAUGCGUCGCCCGCGUCGACGAGGAGGUCCCCACGUGCAGAGCGGGCCCCGAUCCCGCGGAUCCCACGGGAUGUGCCGGUCUCUGUUUAAUCAAUAAGCAAAAGUGCCAUCGAUUGGACGUGGACGCGUUCAGGUGCGUCGAGGUCGAGCAUUAUUGCCUGGACGACGAGUGGACGUGCUCCAACACUCUCUGCAUCCCGUUGACGAGGCAUUGCGACGGUCACAUGAAUUGUUACGACCACUCGGACGAGUACAAUUGCGCCUGCGACUUCGAGACGCACUUCCAGUGUGGAAAUGAGACCUCCUGUCUUCCUCUGGACAAGAGAUGCGACGGCAAGAUCGACUGUUGGGACGCGUCCGACGAGAUGAACUGUACCGUCAGGGUCUUGAUUGGUCUUGUCCCUUGGAAAGUGAGUUCACUUGUAGCAAUGGGCAAUGCAUACUUAAGGCUCGAUUCUGCGACGGAUUAGCGGAUUGUGCCGACAAAUCGGACGAGCCCCAAGGAUGCCAAGGCAGAUGCAACCAGCAUGAAUUCACGUGCCAGAACGACAGGUGCAUUCCUAAGGGAAUGAAGUGUAACGGCGUGGACGACUGCGGGGACGGAAGUGACGAGCAGCGUUGCAGGGAACGGUUCGCUUGAUUUCCGGGCAGAGAACGCGACAAAGGAAUUGGUGCCUCUGCAGAACCUUGUACGAUAUUCAUACAGUAUUCUGCAUAGAGAGAUCCGAAUAAUAUAUAAAUAUUGUAUAGGCUAAUGGACAUUAUGUAUAUUGUACGAAGUAACCGACGGAACAAUAAACACGCGAAUUUAC